GAUGAACGCUGGCUUCGUGCCUAUUACAUGCAAGUCGAGCGAACAGACGAGUUGCUUUCUCCUCGGACGUUAGCGGCGGACGGGUGAGUAACACGUGGAUAACCUACCUAUAAGACUGGGAUAACUUCGGGAAACCGGGGCUAAGACCGGAUAAUAUAUUGAACCGCAUGGUUCGAUAGUGAAAGACGGUUUUGCUGUCACUGAUAGAUGGAUCCGCUCUGCAUUGGCUAGUUGGGAAUGUAACGGCGUACCAAGGCAACUAUGCGUAGCCGACCUGAUAGGGUGAUCGGCGCCACUGCAACUGAGACACGGUCCAGACUCCUAAGGGCGGCAGCAGAAGGGAAUCUUCCGCCAUGGGCGAAUGCCUGACGGAGCAACGCCGAGUGAGUGAUGAAGGUCUUCGGAUCGUAAAACUCUGUUAUUAGGGAAGAACAAAUGUGUAAGUAACUAUGCACGUCUUGACGGUACCUCAUCAGAAAGCCACGGGUAACUACGUG
rnacentral:rRNA from 1 species